GCUUUUGCUCCGUCUUUCUUCCGUUCUUCUCCGAUUCUUUCUCCCUUUCUCUUUUCUUUGUCUUUCACUUCUUUUCUUUCUUCUUUAAUUGAACAUUAAAUAACAGUGCAAGACAAAACAAAGGUCACACGUUGGGCUUCUUCUUACAAGUUAAAGGGUGGAAAGGUUGAAUAUUUACAUGGACUACAAAUUCAAGGAAAUGACCAUUCUUUGGGUUUUGUUACUGGUGGGUCUGCUCAUGUGCAAAUGCAACUUAGCACCAAAGAGUGUGAGAAUCUGGGAUUAACUGGUCUGGAUCUCUGCUCAGACUGCAACACCUUUGCUGAGUAUGUCAAGGACCAAGGUGCAAAUGAUUGAAGAUGCAGUCACUCUGAAACCAGUUCAUGGAAUAACAAACUUUGUUCCCAUUUUAAACAGCAGGAGAAAUGGGACAAAAAAAAAAAGGAAGCCAUGAAAAGAAGUAGGGAGGGGAGAAAUGGAUCUUCAUCAGAACAUAAGGAGAAGAUGAGAAGAAGCAUAAGCAGAUGAAGAGAAAAGUAUGGAUCUUCAGCGUAAUCAGGUCUAUGAGUUUCUUUUUUAUUUUAAUUU